rnacentral:rRNA from 1 species
ACUCAAAUGAAUAGACGGGGACCCGCACAAGCGGUGGAGCAUGUGGUUUAAUUCGACGCAACGCGAAGAACCUUACCUAGGCUAGAAUGUGAGGGAAGGGCUUCUAACAGAGUCCGUCCGGGAAACCGGACCCAAAACAAGGUGCUGCAUGGCUGUCGUCAGCUCGUGUCGUGAGAUGUUGGGUUAAGUCCCGCAACGAGCGCAACCCUUAUCAACAGUUGCCAUCAUUAAGUUGGGAACUCUGUUGAGACUGCCGUUGAUAAAACGGAGGAAGGUGGGGAUGAUGUCAAGUCAUCAUGGCCUUUAUGCUUAGGGCUACACACGUGCUACAAUGGCCGGUACAAAACGUCGCAAUCCCGCAAGGGGGAGCUAAUCGCAAAAACCGGUCUCAGUUCGGAUUGAAGUCUGCAACUCGACUUCAUGAAGUUGGAAUCGCUAGUAAUCGCGGAUCAGAACGCCGCGGUGAAUACGUUCCCGGGUCUUGCACACACCGCCCGU